CAGUCGCCGCGGUAAUACGGAGGGUGCAAGCGUUAUCCGGAUUUAUUGGGUUUAAAGGGUCCGUAGGCGGAUCUGUAAGUCAGUGGUGAAAUCUCACAGCUUAACUGUGAAACUGCCAUUGAUACUGCAGGUCUUGAGUAAAUUUGAAGUGGCUGGAAUAAGUAGUGUAGCGGUGAAAUGCAUAGAUAUUACUUAGAACACCAAUUGCGAAGGCAGGUCACUAAGAUUUAACUGACGCUGAUGGACGAAAGCGUGGGGAGCGAACAGGAUUAGAUACCCCCGUAGUCCCUGUCUCUUAUAC
rnacentral:rRNA from 1 species